rnacentral:rRNA from 1 species
GCGCGAAAACUUUACAAUGCACGAAAGUGUGAUAAGGGGAUCCCAAGUGCUCAUGUUCUGCAUGGGCUUUUGCCAAGAGCAAAUAUCUUGGCGAAUAAGUGGUGGGAAAGACUGGUGCCAGCAGCCGCGGUAACACCAGCGCCACGAGUGGCAUACAUCUUUAUUGGGCCUAAAGCGUUCGUAGCUGGUUUGGCAAAUCUUUUGUGAAAUCAUGGAGCUUAACUUCAUGGCGUGCAGGAGAGACUACCAGACUUGGAACCGGGAGGAGUCAGAGGUAUUCUGGGGGAAGCGGUAAAAUGCUGUAAUCCUUGGAGGACCACCUGUGGCGAAGGCGUCUGACUAGAACGGAUUCGACAGUGAGGGACGAAGGCCAGGGGAGCGAACCGG